UACGGAGGGUGCAAGCGUUAUCCGGAUUCACUGGGUUUAAAGGGUGCGUAGGUGGGUUUGUAAGUCAGUGGUGAAAUCUCCGAGCUUAACUCGGAAACUGCCAUUGAUACUAUAGAUCUUGAAUUAUCUGGAGGUAAGCGGAAUAUGUCAUGUAGCGGUGAAAUGCUUAGAUAUGACAUAGAACACCAAUUGCGAAGGCAGCUUACUACGGAUAUAUUGACACUGAGGCACGAAAGCGUGGGGAUCAAACAGG
rnacentral:rRNA from 1 species